rnacentral:rRNA from 1 species
CGAGCAACGCCGCGUGAACGAUGAAGUAUUUCGGUACGUAAAGUUCUUUUAUUAGGGAAGAAUAAAUGAUGGAAAAAUCAUUCUGACGGUACCUAAUGAAUAAGCCCCGGCUAACUAUGUGCCAGCAGCCGCGGUAAUACAUAGGGGGCAAGCGUUAUCCGGAAUUAUUGGGCGUAAAGGGUGCGUAGGCGGUUAAAUAAGUUUAUGGUCUAAGUGCAAUGCUCAACAUUGUGAUGCUAUAAAAACUGUUUAGCUAGAGUAAGAUAGAGGCAAGUGGAAUUCCAUGUGUAGUGGUAAAAUGCGUAAAUAUAUGGAGGAACACCAGUAGCGAAGGCGGCUUGCUGGGUCUUUACUGACGCUGAGGCACGAAAGCGUGGGGAGCAAACAGGAUUAGAUACCCUGGUAGUCACGCCGUAAACGAUGAGUACUAAACGUUGGGUAAAACCAGUGUUGAAGUUAACACAUUAAGUACUCCGCCUGAGUAGUACGUACGCAAGUAUGAAACUUAAAGGAAUUGACGGGACUCCGCACAAGCGGUGGAUCAUGUUGUUUAAUUCGAAGGUACCCGAAAAACCUCACCAGGUCUUGACAUGCUUCUGCAAAGCUGUAGAAACACAGUGGAGGUUAUCAGUUGCACAGGUGGGGCAUGGUUGUCGUCAGCUCGUGUCGUGAGAUGUUGGGUUAAGUCCCGCAACGAGCGCAACCCUUAUUGUUAGUUACCAGCACGUAAUGGUGGGGACUUUAGCAAGACUGCCAGUGGUGAAUUGGAGGAAGGUGGGGACGACGUCAAAUCAUCAUGCCCCUUAUGACCUGGGCUACAAACGUG